GGCUUAUCGUGGCUUUAACGGGUAACGGGGAAUUAGGGUUUGAUUCCGGAGAGGGAGCCUGAGAGACGGCUACCACAUCCGAGGAAGGCAGCAGGCGCGUAAAUUACCCAAUCUUGACACAAGGAGGUAGUGACAAUAAAUAACA
rnacentral:rRNA from 1 species